rnacentral:rRNA from 1 species
UACGUAGGGUGCAAGCGUUAUCCGGAAUUAUUGGGCGUAAAGAGCUCGUAGGCGGUUUGUCGCGUCUGCUGUGAAAACUGGAGGCUCAACCUCCAGCCUGCAGUGGGUACGGGCAGACUAGAGUGCGGUAGGGGAGAUUUGGAAUUCCUGGUGUAGCGGUGGAAUGCGCAGAUAUCAGGAGGAACACCAACAGCGAAGGCAGAUCUCUGGGACGUAACUGACGCUGAGACGCGAAAGCGUGGGGAGCAAAACAGG